UAUCCUGGAUUACAGGAUAGGCUCGAUGUAAUUACAAGGGUCCUUACUGUAAAAGAGAGAGGCAGAGGACUCAGUAUUGGGUGAUGCAUUGGGAGAAGACUUGAUCGGCCACGGCUGGCUGUGAAGGGACCAUGAGCCAAGGAGUCUCGGCAGCCUCUAGAACCCAGAAAAGGUACCAUCUGCUGACUUCCCACAUCAGAAGUCGUUAAGAAGUCCAGAACCAGGGGGAGGACUCAAGAUGGCGCUGUGAGAACAACCCAGGAUUGGAGCUCUCGUUGAAUCCGCAAAGAGGCUCUUCUCUGUCACCCAGGUUGGAGUGCAGUGGUGCAGUCAUGGCUCACUGUGGCCUCAAACUCCUGGGCUCAAGUGAUCAUCCCACCUCAGCUUCCCAAGUAGCUGGGACUACAGGUUUAAAGACCCUGUCUCCAAAUACAGUCACAUUCUGAAGAAUUGGAGGUUAAGACUUCAACAUAUGAAUUUUGGAAGGAACACAAUUCAGCCCAUGACAUCCCUUAAUACCAGUACGUUUGCCAACCCAAGGUGUCAAUUUCUUAGUUAGCUGCUUGCUGAUACUCAUGUACAAUACAAUAAUAAAAGUGGGUACCAUAUUAUUGAACA
rnacentral:lncRNA from 13 species